CCGGGGAAGGAAGGAGGAACCCGAGCCAGGAAAUAGGUUGCCGAGAGGAAGGCCCCGGCGGUGAGGUAGAAAUGAACCACAAGCCAGGAUAUGUGAUAGGAAUUUAUUAAUAAGCAAACAUCAUUCAUACCAAGAAUAGCAGCAAUGAAGUUAUAAAUGAUCUGAGAGAGAAUGUACUUGACGACUUUGGAGCAUCUCAUUAGAAUGUCUGCUGCCCAGGUAAGCCCACAAGGUCAUCUGUAAGGGCAAGGCAUUAUUUUAUAUUAUACCCCAAGGAAUGGUACCAACAGUAGCAGCAGCAAGCUACAGUAUUCAUUUGUUGAUAGGGUCCCUUAAAGUUUUAGGAUACAAAUUCGUGAAUCUCUGUCUGAACCAGCUCCUCCAGAGAGCUGGAUCUCCACAGCGUAAGACUCAAAAGCUACUGGUGUGACUUGUACAGCACUGUUUUACUCUGUAUAAGCAAUCUUGACUUUUUGCCUUUUCUGGCAGACUGCAGGAGCUUGCAAAGUUAAUGAGCCACAUCCACAGUGUAGUCAGUGAGGAACUUUACAGGUGCUAGUUAAGGCACAAAGUAGUCCUCGGGAAAUGUUACUCUAUGCAUAUAGAGCCGAUGUCAUCAUGUCAGGAUUGGCAAUCUUUAAGGGUCUGAAAAUAUAAGGUUCUAUUACUUCUUAACUCAUUAAAAUAGGGUGGCUCCUAAAUAUGAGAAAUUGCUGGUUUAUCUGAAGUUUUCAACAAAAAAAUUGCCACCGAGUUCCUAGAAAAACCUAAUAUUAGAAGUCUUUAAGCCCCAGCAGGUACUUUGCUAAGGCUAUCUGAAUAGUGUCAAGUGGCCAGAUGUGACUCCACUUGGUAACUGGCUGGGUUACAGGGCCACCCAUUUGCAUGAACAACCUUGGUUAACAGCUUCACACAAAUUGACAGACCCCUUCAGUGGACUGUUGAACCUCCAGUGCCCAAUGCUGUAUUGAAGCAAUUUAAUUAAUGGGGAUGACUAUCCACUUUCACUGAAAUGGGAAAGGUAACUGGUGAUUUAGACAAUGAUGAUUCACAUAGGCUCAUUAUUUCAAUACUUAGGAGACAUGUGCCUUGGAGGAGGUAUGUCACUCAGGGCAGGCUAUUCCAUUCCAAAAAUCUCAUGUCAUCAUUCCCAGUGUACUCCCUCUGCCUCCUACUUGAGGAUCAAGAUGUGAACCCUCAGCCAUCAUGAGCUCUAACCAUCUCAAACUGUAAGCCCGAUUAAACACUUUCUCUUGGAUGUUGCCUUGGUCAUGGUGUUUUGUCCUAAUAGGAAACUUAAAUAUUUAUGAUUUGUUUUAUAAAAGGAUUUAUUUUACCCAUUUUGAUCCCCACAAUAUUCCUAAUUUUAAAAAAAACCAACAUAAAAGAAUGUGGAAUCAGACAAGCAUGGAAACUAUGAACUCCUGACAGUAUUCUUAGAAUUCAGCUCGAGUGGGAGUAAUGUACCCUAUUUACACGAUUAGGUAUACAUUUGAGUUUGAGAUCCCUGAAUCCCUCAUGGAUGGAUGCAUUGUCAGAGAUGCUAAGUACCAAAGUGAAGACUGUUUUAUAACUUGGCAACAACAGUGAAAACCACCCAUGGCCCCAACCAAAUUUUGUCCAAGAAAGCAGUGUUACUCCUCAUUAAAUGCUUGAGAAAGAUAGUAGGUCUCUCUCUCCCUCUGUCUCAGACACAUACACACGACACACAUGUACCGAGAAAAUGUCAAAGUUUCUUUUAUUCUUAGAAUUGACUUUCAAUUGAGGGCUUCUAGGCUAUUAGGUGGGCUAGUUUAACUUGAAAAACAAUGUACAUUCUUUAAAAUAUAUACUAACUUCCCCAAAGAAAAAUGGAAAAAGAAAUCUUAACAGUCCACAUUUUUCAUUUCUGAAGGAGCCAAGAUUUCCCAUUUAAAAAAAAAAAAAAAAAAAAACCACCCAAGGUGAUAGGUGUGGUAGUACACACCUGUAAUCCCAGCACCCAGGAGGCAGGAAGAAAAGUUUUAAAUUGGAAGUCAGCCUGGGCUAUAGUGUGCUGAGACUCUGAGGUAAUACAAAAACAAACAAACAAAAACAGGAAAACAAACAACACCCCUGAAAAAGCAAACAAAAAACCCAAAAUUCAAAACUACCAGACUCUACAGUUGCAGGGAUAAAUGCUGAGAUCAAAUGCUCAACUGGAUUUAGUGGUACCUGCCUGUCAUUCUAGCACUUGGAGACAGAGGCAGGAUGAUCAGCAGUUCAAGGCCAUCCUUGGUUACCUAAGUUCUAGACUCAAGACUCAACUGGGCUACCUAAGGUUUUUAGUUUGUUUGAGACAGGGUUUCCCUAGCUGUCCUGGAACUCACUCUGUAGACCAGGUUGACCGCAAACUCACAGAGAUCUGCCUGCCUCUGCCUCCUGAGUGCUGGAAUUAAAGGUGUGUGCCACCACUUCCUGGCUAAGAUCUGGUCUUUAAAAGAACUAAAAAGAAAACAUUAGCUGCUGCUCUCUGCAUUUUCAGUUAUCAUGUAUAAAAGAAACCUUUUAGCAAGUCCCAGAAGGCUAUCCAUAUUCAAGGUCAACUGCAAAUAGCCUAUAAAUAGUUACACUAUGCUAUUCUCAACUGUCAUAUGUGGUCUGGCUGCCAAAUCUGUCAGUGGGGAAGGGCUCUUUUCUAGUCACCACUGGUUUCUAGAGGAAAUCAGGACUACAAUGGUGUAUGAAACAGUAACCCUCUGGAAGGAGCACUGUCAUGCAUUACUAAUGUCAAAGUAUGGUUUAGAAACACAGCAUUAAAAGCCAUUUCUUGUCCUGGACAUUACAUCAUUCUAAGACCAGAAUAAGAAAAUGGUACAGACAGAGGUAGUUGAAUGCUGCUUGGGUCCUACAUAGAAUUGUGAAACUUUAGGCAAGUUAUUUAAUCCUUUUCUUAUUUUCCAUUUCUGUGAAAAUAGCAAUCUUUACUCCACUUGUUUUAGAGUAAGUGCUUUGAAGAUGAAAAUGACAGACGGUUAGACUGGAUAGGAUAAGACUCAACUGUCCUGAAGUCUGGACUUAGUUACAGUAUCUAACAUUAACAAUAUCCAGAAGCAUCUGCAGCUUUGAGUCUACUUUAUAGGGACCAUCAGCUUCUAUAAGUAAGGUGAAGUACUUUUGAGGCUGAGAAUAAUGCUUUAAAUUUUUAAAUAUCAUAUCUAAAUCCAGUGUUUGCAAUUAGGAAGCCAGAAAGCUUUCAGAAGUACUUCUGAAAGUUUCAUUAGCCAAAUUAAGUGUUGGGGAUGGUCUCAUUCACAGUUCCCUACCUAGGACCUGAACCAAUACUUGACAGUUUAUAUUAAACAGGAACAGUGAAUAAGGCACAUUAUACAGGUGGCUGUUAUCCACCUAAGUUAUCUGUUUUCAACUAUAAAAAUAAACAUAAGUAACUAAUGGAAUAACAAAAUAAACGUUUAUUUUAUUAGAAUUAGGAAUGUUCUUUCCCUCUGGGCAACCUGAACAGUCCAGUUACAAUGAAAAUCUAAGAACAGUUAUUUCCACAGCACAAGGUGCUCUAUGCACAAAAUUACAGGGUUAGGAGCAUUUAAUCAAUUUAUCGAUCUGAUUGUCUCACCAACCCACCCCAUCCCAUCCCCCAAGUGCUCUAUAUUGGGAUACGUGGCUAAAAUAAUGUUACAUUAAAUCCUUUAACUCUCUUGUUCUAAGUUUCAACUCCUAAUCACAGGUGAACCACACAUUACACUGCAGAUUCAACCAUAUCAAACCAAGUCAGUCAGUCUUGGAUCUACUGGUAUGUAUGUAUACACGUGUGUCUUUAAUAUAUUUAUUUAAACACACAUAAAACAUAUACAAUCUGGGUUGCAGCAAAUUACAAAGAAUUUAGAGUCUGGUGAUGUUAUAUGCUACUCCAUUUACCACAAUUUUAUGUCUCCUGAGCUUUGGAUCAAAAUUUUAUUAGAAAUCAUUGAAAAGUUCACCUGUUGCUCAAUGAAUUGUUCAAAUGAAGCAUGCACCUACAAUGUAACUGACCUCAAAAACACAAGGAGACCCUGGUGCUUACUGUAAGUAGAGCCCUCUGAGAGACUUAGGUAGGUCAAAUAGGGAAGCUGUCUAACAAUAUGGCUUGCCUAUCCCAGCGGGGGGCACUGAAG